rnacentral:lncRNA from 1 species
CAUAGCCAGCCCUCCGUCACCUCUUCACGGCGCCCUGGGACUGCCCCAAGGCUCCCGCCGCUGCUCCAGCGCGGCGCAGCCACUGCCGCCGCCGCCGCCUCUCCUUAGUCGCCGCAAUGACGACCGCGUCCACCUCGCAGGUGCGCCAGAACUACCACCAGUACUCAGAGGCCGCCAUCAACCGCCAGAUCAACCUGGAGCACUACGCCUCCUAAGUUUACCUGAUAUCAAGAAACCAGACUGUGAUGACUGGGAGAGCGGGCUGAAUGCGAUGGAGUGUGCAUUACAUUUGGAAAAAAAUGUGAAUCAGUCACUACUGGAACUGCACAAACUGGCCACUGACAAAAAUGACCCCCAUUUGUGUGACUUGAGAUACAUUACCUGAAUGAGCAGGUGAAAGCCAUCAAAGAAUUGGGUGACCACGUGACCAACUUGCGCAAGAUGGGAGCGCCCGAAUCUGGCGUGGGAGAAUAUCUCUUUGACAAGCACACUCUGGGAGACAGUGAUAAUGAAAGCUAAGCCUCAGGCUAAUUUCCCCAUAGCCAUGGGGUGACUUCCCUGGUCACCAAGGCAGUGCAUGCAUGUUGGGGUUUCCUUUACCUUUUCUAUAAGUUGUACCAAAACAUCCACUUAAGUUCUUUGAUUUGUACCAUUCCUUCAAAUAAAGAAAUUUGGUACCC